rnacentral:rRNA from 1 species
GACGGAGGGUGCAAGCGUUGUCCGGAUUUAUUGGGCUUAAAGGGUGCGUAGGCGGCCCGGUAAGUCAGUGGUGAAAGCCUCCAGCUCAACUGGAGAACUGCCAUUGAUACUGCCGGGCUUGAGUACAGACGAGGUUGGAGGAAUUGAUUGUGUAGCGGUGAAAUGCAUAGAUACAAUCAAGAACUCCGAUUGCGUAGGCAGCUAACUAGGCUGUAACUGACGCUGAGGCACGAAAGCGUGGGGAGCGAACAGG